rnacentral:hammerhead_ribozyme from 1 species
AUUCUGCUGACGAGUCCAAAACAAAACGAAAUGCUCAUCGUGGAU